UAUAAAUACUGCCCCCAUUUGUCGUCACAUCCUCUUUCCAUUGCCCUUCUCGCUGUGAGAUUCUUCUCCACACGAUGAGAGCCAAGUGGAGGAAGAAGCGCAUGCGCAGGCUGAAGCGUAAAAGGAGAAAGAUGAGGCAGAGGUCCAAGUAAACACUCAUCAUGCCGGCUGCAGCCUGUUGGACUUUCUUGUAUGACUGAAACGGAUGCAUGGACCACCUCCAACUUGGUUUCUGGCAACCACAUGCCUCAUCCACCCACCUGUGACAGUCUACUCGAUGGCACUAACCUGGCACUUGACAUCAGAUGUGGCACUGUUGGUUCAUGGACCAUGAAACCUCUUUUAUCUGGCAACUGUCAUUUGGUGUAUUGAACAAUAAAUGAACACUGUUCCAAA